GGCACUAUGGCCGAGUGGUUAAGGGGACAGACUUGAAAUCUGUUGGGCUCUGCCCGCUCUGGUUCCUAUCCUGCUGGUGUCG
rnacentral:tRNA from 1 species